UCAGCCGAUGGUAGUUUGUAGCUUGGCUUCCGCUAUAGCUGUAGUGCCGCGCUGCCGCUGAAGAAAACAAGAGAAAUCGAGACCACUCCAACACGCACAGAGUUUUUAAGCGACAGCGGCGUGAAACGCUAGAACUAAGGCAAUCCGAGGAUGUAGGUAUAGUCCCCUAGAGCGCAACAUUGUCGAAACCUCGUUGUCGUCCUCUCUCUCUCUCUUUCUAAUUAAGAGGGAAAAAAAAGAACAACACAAAGAAAGGGGGAGAGAGACACGCACGUCUUCGAACGGAACCGCACCUUCCUGACGAACCCGAACGACCAAGAAGAGCAGCUGGAGAAGACCGACAUUCCGGAGGAGAGAUAAAAAAUAGACGCACCGGAGGCGCAGUCGAGCGAGCGCGAGACUUUUGCUGUCACAGCGUUGGACGCGCAACGCCCGUCAGCGAGGCCGGCCAACCGGAGAAAGCGCACGUGGACGCGACCGCGCACCAGCAGCGGACGACGCAGGCCCGCCGAACCGUUGCCGCAGGGUGUUCGAGCACUGCCGAUGACUGCCUAACGCUGCGGCUGGCACGGCGGGAUGGCGCUCCUGUACCGCUUCACCCGACUCAACGACCGCUCCAACACGGGAGUGUUCACUUUCAUCGCCACGCGGUCCGUCACACGAGACCUGCACCGGGACGCCACCACCAAAGACUUUCCCUUCGCCUACCACCGAUGGGCCGUCUCCUUUGUCCGCACGGACAAGGUGCUUGGAGUGUUGCUCCGCAUUCGGAACGCUGCUCCAGGGUGGAAGUGCUACCUGGAUUUCACAUUCACCUUGCUCAAUCGCGAGCACUUCUCGAAGAACGAAGCCCUCUCCGAAAAGCAGGUUCGCUUCACGGCGGAAGAGUCGACGCAUGGGGCUGCCCGUUGGAUCCUCAUCUCAGACCUACAGUCGCGGCGCUUCUCGGACGAGACGGGCGAGUUCCUGCUGGAGCUGUCUUUGGCCAAUGCCAUGACGGUGUUCGAGACGGACAUCCGGGUGCCUCCGCAGCUGCUCAAUCACCACCACCACCAUCACCACAGGGGCAGCGGCGCGGGACAGCACAAAGACUGGGGCCCCGUCGGUUCGGCGCCCGGCACGCCAACGGGAUCCGGAGGAGCACAGACCCCAAGAAUCGAGUCGUCCUACUUUUGCUUCGGAGGUUUCGACUGGAACAUCGCGUUGCUGCCGGAUGGUUCCCCCGAGGAUGGCGACAAUGGCCGGCCCCGGGUGCUCCUCAUCAGGCACACAGGCUUCGACCACCCGUGCCGUGUGCAGUACCGAGUGGUGCUGGGUGAGGGCGACAGGCGCGUCGAUUCUGGCGUACUGGACCAGAUCUCGGACCUCUCUGGCCGCAUUCGGGGCUUUUCUCUGGGCGCUGCCGGCCCCGCUGACCUGGUGCGCCGCGGCACACUCAGGCUCCAGCUGCACAUGCUGUCCGCCAACGCCAUCUCGGAGGCCAAGGUGUCGGCGACUGCAAGCCCGCUGGCUGGUGUGGAGCCGUGCGCGCCCGCAACGGCAAACUGCUACGACCGGGACAAGCAGGCGUGGUGCGUCGAGGCUGACAUGGAGGGCGAGCGAUUACGAUUGAAGCUGUACUACGCGGAGCUGCAGCACAUCCCCGUGGGCCACCUACGCUACGUGGCCUGGAACGCGUACCUGGUGCGCCGCCAGCCGGGCUCCGGGGCGCGCGAGAGCGUGCUCGCGCUGCGCGCUCCGCACUCCAGCUACUACGUGCACGACGGCAUGGACGUCGCCGUGGUCAUGGACACCGACGUCACCGUGCGGCAGAUUCGCGAGUCAGCCGGAAUGUACUUGGACGGAGCCGGAAACCUGACUGUGCACGUGGAAUGGCUCGACUCGCAGCUCCUGUUCGGAGCCACAUACCACAAAUAUGACGACAUUGCUCGCACCCAGUGCCACCAAAUGAAACGCGAGAUAGCCGCCCUCCAGGCUGAGAACUACAACCUGGAGCGGCAGGUCUUCAGCUACCAGAAGUCCAUCUCGUACGCGAGCGCCCGGGGCCAGCCGUCCGAGGACCUGCCCGACGACUACUACGCCAGCACCGUGCGACGGCUCUCCGAGACGCAGAGCCUGUCUGAAUCCGAGUACGCCUGACGAGCCCCUGCCGCCAUCCAGAAAAGCGAGCCCGACACCGCCGCCGCCAGCGUUCGGCGUUCCGCACAAUCGCCAUCCCGCUGCCUUCAAUGCGAGCGGCACGCCUGGGCGCCGUCGCCGCCGCCCCUGCACCCGCCCAGAGCCCGGGCCAUCCGCCGCUGAGUGCGCGCUCGGACACGCCUCUUCGACGCCACCCGUUCACCCCCGCACUCUAUCCUGGGGGACCACUCAUCAUCCACCACAUCGCCCAUCACGUCCACCGUCGGCGCCUCCUGAGGGGCGACGAAACAAUGCCGAUGUCGCACUACUUGCACCGACUCAGCGUUCGCUCGUGCCCAGCUGCUCGCUGCUGCGCGAAACGUGUCAACCUGUGAGGCUUCGCUAUUGUCACCAAAAAGAAAGAAAGAACCUCUUCGGACAACUAUGGUCCUGGUUGUGAGCAACAAGCAAGGUUCAUAGAGCAUCCUCGUGGAACGGGAGGCAAUCUUUGCUUUGUGCAAGCAGUGCGACCUGGAAAUGCAUAAGCUUCGUACCUGUCCACUAUUGGAGCCUGGCGAUUUUACUCGCCAGCUCUUGCCUGUAUGAUGCCUGGAUUCCUGGUUGUCGUUUCGUGAGUCCGCAACAAAAAAAGUUUCAAGCUUUUGUGUUCACAACGGAUUCGCCGACACUAGGCUGGCGUUCAUCGAGAUUUAUCUGCAUGGAGCGUUGCAUUACGAAUUUUACGCUUCGGCUUAAUAAUUUUGUCCGCAUAGAAAGGCCGUUUGAUGUGUGUUGUUGUGACAGCGCCUCUAAUAUCACCUAACGCCUUCAACUAUAUCUGCAGUGUAAGCUUAAGAUCCCUUGGGCUCUUAACAAGGCGCUCUUGUAGCAUUGCGGGUUAAAACCUUAGCACUAAUCAUUUCAGUACGUUCCACCGUGCUGUUUGCAGACGCAAGCAGGAGUGCGGUGCCAAUAAAAUAUUCUCACUGACACUUUUUACUUGACAUCUCUGGCAAUACUAGACGUAAAGCUCGUGUCGACGUGUUAGACAAGACUUGUUCACGCACUGUGCGCCCAAUACUCUCCGGCACUCUUACACGCCACUCCUGCCACCCGCAAACCCUUGUUAUUUCACCCAUACAAUGAACGCAAGAUUCGGUUAAGGAAGUCAUGGCAGAGUCGUGCAUAGGUUUCCACUUAUUGGAAUUGACCAGUUGUUCAGGAAAAUUCUGCCUAUUUACCUAAUUGCUGCCGGCUCUCAGGGUGCGAUUUUUGUAGGACAAGUCGCAUCGCCGAAAAACUCACGCACGAUGGAGCACAGUGCUGCAAAGGCAAUGCCUUACGAACUGUUGUAUGUGCCAAGUACGAGCAUUUCGCUCUUUGUGUAUUAAACUUGAAAAAAUGGUGAUCGGAACAAACCCCGCACUAUAUAGCUAGCUACAGGAUAGCACCCGUUCUGGGAGAAGCCUGUGUAUGCCGAAUUUUGUUUUAUGUUCAUGCAUGAGGUGAUAAGAGGAGUAACUAUCGGAUGAUCAUCUAUCGAUAACUAUACUAGAGAGAAUGUGCCUCCCGUGAAUUUUAUUUCGCCCGUCUUUUUUCACCGCUGUCAAAGUCUGUCGUACGCCUUCAAGGAAGUCAGUGUUCUGUUGCUUCGCAAGAAAAGAAGAAAUGAAAAAAAAAUAAUUAUAUCUAGAAUCGCUUUGUACCAUGCACGUGCCAGAUACUUCCAGCAGUGUCGACAAACGAGGUUCUUGUAACGCAGGUUAAUGUUUAUGAAAAUACAAGGUACCAGUGUUGCGUGUGAAAAAAAAAAGCUUUGUAUAGUUUGUUUUUCUCUUUCCAGCACUCCUACAGUCAAUAUUGUGCUUCAAGCAUUUUAUGGUGUGAUGCUUUCUACAUAUUGUGAACAGAUUAAUGCAUUAGUGACGUUUACGGUAUAUGCUGUUUCUGGUUCAUAAAGUUUGAUGUCUUUGAUUUAGUUGUUGCAAGACACCGCAGAGGCCAUGAGAAGGUUCUUCGACUAAAGGUGCCCGGCUUCACAAUCGACAUACCAAAAACGUUGGACGUAUAAUACGCGAACAAUCCUGUUCUCCAGCUUUUUUUUUUUUUUUUUUUGCGCCCUUUCAUAAGUGUACAGAACAGGAUCUUAAAAGGCGUAAACAAGCUCUGGGCAAUAGGCAGUCCGGGAGCCGGGUCUCUCGUGAAGCGGUAUCAUAUGGUCCUCGGCUCCACCCCAGACAGGCUUCCUUCGCCCAAGUCCCCUUCAUAGCACACCGUUCUACACAUCGCCGUGCUCUCAAGCUCACUUUGGUCACGAACAAAAGAGUGCCUCCGCCAAUACUUCGGCGUAGCUCUCACUUGCGCAGCUGGCGAUUUUGCUGACUUUACAACGCAAUGGUGACAGCGGCGUGCGUAAUUUUUAAGUUACUCUAAAUUACCUAGCAUGCUGUUUUGGAUGCAGUUUCGAAAACUUAGGGAGAUUCAAUUUUUUUUAGAUCUUGUUAUGCUUUCUCGUCGUUGGGAGCGUAAAUGCACUUUCUUUCAGCUGUGAUGUUUCGUGCGAGUGCCUUUUAUUUCCUUUCAGCCCCUGUCGGCUGGUCUACCCAUUUUUUGGAUGAUGGCUUCUCUCAGUGACUCGGCUCGCUGGCCUGAAAAGGUUGCCGACCGAUGUUGUAAACAUUUCAACUUGAAACACUUGAUUAGGCAGAUAUGUUUUUUCACCCAUUUUCUACGGCCUCAGGGGUUUGCUUAUGAGGCAAAAUUGAGCACUGAAGACCCUUUGAAAGGGUUUAUUAUGGUCCGUCUUGACUGCUUGUGUUUGUAAAAAAACUAAAAUCUAUGUAGAUGUCUGUGAAAGUAGCGCCAUUAAUCGAGGACAAUGCACAUAAAAUGAUUCUCAUUGCUAAAGCCAUAUAAGUCCUCCUGCACCAUGGUUGAUAGGAGAGAGUAUUAUAAAUUGUUCAGCUAACCAUGAUAAAUCUCCAACUCAAUGAUGCGAAAACAUGUCUGCUUGUGAACAGCGAGAAUUUUCGAGCUAUCCAACAUAUUAAAAUAAUAUCAUAACAGAAUUGUAGAGGAUUCUAUCCGGCAUUAUAACAUUGUAUUCAUGUGUAAAAAUUCGACGUUUUAUUGCCAGUAUUACCGGUAUGGGAUGCUAUGAGACACACGCUGCGGUGUUGGGGUGAGGGGGGCUACCUUUUGGCACACAACACACCCGGUGCGUUUCGCCUGGCUUCUCCGGGGGCUUAAAGUACCUGCUUCUCUUCCGUAAACACCACAGAAUGCCUGCUUUUGUGUACGUCUUGUGUCGGCGAAUAUUGCGUCUGUGUUUGGCUAUCGUCUUGUCAGCCACUGCACGUUGAUGCGGCGUGCCCUGCGCCAUGUGCGCACACGAAAGAAAAAAAAAUUAUUCAGUAAAAUUAUAACUGUGUGGCAUGUUGUUGUGUGUAAUAAUUAUUGUAGAUGUCAUCACUUUCGGCUGGAAAGAAGUAAACGAUACACAAAUACUUGGCAGAGAUGUAGCUUUUACACGACCUCGGUGGUAUGUUGAUAGUUCACUAUAUAUCGCCUCCAGGACUUGCGAAAACGUUUUGUUUUCUUCUUGUUUCCGUGUUCGCUUGUCUCGUUCAUAUUCGUAAGCGAUUCCCAGUAACGCAAGACAUUCGGGAAGAUCGUGGCGUUAAAAACGGCGACGCUGAUGAGGGUGCCAACGGUAGCGGAGCAGUGCUCGUUCGGGUUCACUGGUUAAUGCUUUUCCGGGGGAACACGGAUGCGGCAAGGAGAGAUCUCGGACUGAGUCGGAUACCGAGCGACUCGCCCUCGCCCCCUUGUGGCGUCGCCAUUGUCGCGCUGGUUGCUUCCCUCAAGAAUUUGUGGCAGCUGUUCUGGAAUGGGUGUCUCGCGCACCAGGACAAGUCGGGUUCAUCGAGGGCGCACGACAGAAGCCAUGACAAUUACCUGGUCAAUCUCCGUAGGGCAGCCGUAAUUACUCGUCGAGCGAAAAAAAAAAAAGAGUCAAAGUCUCUUUCCUUCGGCCGAGUGCCACGGCGUGCGCUCGGCCUGUUGUUGCUCCGAACCUUGCAUGCUGAAGUGCCUCGACACCCUGUGGCGUGACGUCGAUUGUUUUUGCACUCGUGUUCCAAGUUCGGGCCGCGGGCUCCACUGUGAAACGUGGUAGAAGGAGUAGAUCUUGACGGACUCUCUCUGGGUGCAGAGAUAGCCUCGUCUGCCCUAUGCGCCUCUCCAUCAGCCAUUAUGCCACAUCCACAGCCAAGCAUUUGUCUCACAAUAUAUCUUUGCUAAUAGUAGAUUUAGCUUCAUUCUGCUGACGUACGCAGGGCCCAAUCAAACCUUUUUAUUCUGUCAAGCAUGCACUAUGUCACGUUGGCGUGGCUGUGACGGAUUGCCCUAAGGUGCUUAGUGAAGUGUAUUUUCUCAUGUGUGCCUCGUUUAUUUUCAUUUUGGUGUAUCAAACGCCCGUUUUCUCUACAUUUAAUUGGGAAAACGUUCUCCAUACUCUCAUCUUGCAUAAGUUUAUGGCCACUGUAGCAAGGUUGUAUUCCGUGCACUGUUGCAUUCCUCUUCGCGCUACACGUACACCAUCCCUCGUCGAGUUUACAGUGGUUUGCAUCAUGUCCUUAGCCCCGGCUUUAUUUGUAAUAUAGAGUGAAUGCUCUCGCCAAACAUGUUUGUGAAUUUUGUCUAGUGCACAAAAGUCGCCAUACUCUUGUACAGCAUCACCCGGACCAAAUGAAGGCAUCAAAUGCUGUACCCAAGGAACUUCACCGCGCACACUAUUGCAAAUGGGCCACCGUUAUAAAAACAGUUACUGCUGGCGAUGAGUAUUCAGGCAAGAUUGUCUACGAAAGCUUCAAAGCAGCUUGCCUCGAAGUGCCCAGUAAAUACGCGACUAAAGAACUAGCGUAAUAUUUUUGACUGGAUCUUAGUUCAAAAUCAUUUCAGUGGUCAAUUGGGCGGUGAGGAAAUGUAUUUUGCUUCGCAUCAAAGCCGCGUGAUUAGCUAGUUUUUCUCCUUGCAACAUUCUUAUUUUCUUGUAGUAUUCUUAAUAGAUAUAUGCCGUGUUGCCGACGAAAUCGUCGAUCCUACUUUUAUGCUCCAAGUAUGCGUUAAUAUACGACGGAAGGAAACAAAAGCAACAACUUCAGAGCGCAUGUUAGAAAGGCGGAAAAAAUGAUUAAAUAGCGCAUAAAAUGGCACAUAAAAAUGGUGUAUAGAGCUCACUUUUCUCUAUAAUGCAAGUUUUUUUUUCAACACUUAGGGCUGGGCUUUGAAGAGUAGCCGCACGUCAUGCUACGAAUGAUUUCGAAGAGCGGACAAAACCGCGUCAAAACUACAUCUUGCAACAGUCUCUGGGAACCUGUAAAGGAGCACGGUAGGAGGAGGAGAAAAAAAGUGUUGAAGGAAAAAAUACAUAUUUUCAUCUUGACAGCGAACGUACAUCCUCUGGUUUCUCUUUUGAAGCGCCUGACUUCCGCUGUUACGAUUGAACUCCACCCUCCUGUGCCAAAAUAUUUGCUCAGCUCGACCAAUAGUUGCCAAAAUUAACCCUUGCUAGUAUUGGUGUUGUUUAGGCUCGUGGUACACCUUUACAACAGCUCAAAAUACUAACGCUCACUCGUAGCUAUGGCGUUCGGAGGCUCUCCAAAGUCUUUGUCAAUUGUGCGCGUACCGCUCGUCAUCAAAAACAAAAGUUACCCAAAUUUUAAGCGUAAGUCUUAAUUUUCUAACAAGGUUGAUAAAUUUGACUAUUUGUUACUGUUGCUCAUCUAAUUUAGGUAUUUUGACUAUUCUUGCUGUUUAAUCAACAUAACAUGCACACCUAAAAAUAGUUUACAUCUGCCUGGCUCUGUUUCGCCGCCUCUUUUUCGGUGUGUGACAUUUCUUGCGCUUUUCACGGUAGUAAAGUCGACGGAACCACUUUUUUUUUCUUCCUCUUUUAUUAUGCAAGGAGAAAGUAGGAAAGGCCUGGUGUACUGCUCUUUGUUAAGCGGUACACCUAUAGCAGCUGUUAAAGCUAAUCGAUAAGGCUACAGUCAAAGUUUUCUACCCGCAGCUAACAAUUUCAUUCAUCAGUUUUGCAAAUGGCAGUGACGUUUAACCAUGUCAAGCUGGAAGUGUUCGUACGAUUCUCUCGAGGGCUGUGCUUCAAGAGAAUCCUGCUGUCGUCUGCACAUAUGUGGUAAUAAGUGAGAAGAGCUUCUGGGCCACAGGAAGUAGAUACUGAAACACACGUACAUUUUUUUAUGGGAUUCACCGACACAAGUGUUAUAUUCUGACUAUUCUCGUUAACUUCCGGCGGAAUGGACUUGGGACUUCAUUAUGGCAUUGUAUUUUUACUCGUUUCCAAGUUUCAUUUCAUUUUCACUUCUUCUUGCUUCCCUUUUGUUUACUCCGUUGUGACGUUUAAACUGACGCGACAUGCACUUCAUAUGUCUGUGCCUGCAGGAGGUCAGUUUCGUCUACUUUCGGAAUAUUGUAAAGGGAAUCCCAGGCGUGGUCGAUCUGCGGAAUCUAUUAUACAUUUAACCCUGUAAGGCCCAACGUAUCAUUUUUGCUACGCUGAGUCUGAUACAUGAAAAUAUUGAUUUCAAUGCAGAAAACUUAACGCAUAGCCUGUAGUAGGGUUUUUGAUACGCUGGAGGAAGUUUUCAGUUAUAAACACUUCCGCAAACCAACUAAAUAUAUAAUCCGUUACUAUACUAUUUAAGUUCCUACACUCUUAAAACAGUUGCACCCUUUGGGGUGUAUAUUUGCCUCACAACGAUAAUCGUCGUCUGUCUUGCUUGCGUCUCCUUUCUUGAAAACACUGCGCUCGCUACUUUCCUGUCGAGAAUGCUCUCUCAUGCUGAUAACGGACAUGCCGUUUGUGACUUAGAAGUACCGGGCUCGCAGCGUUAAAGAAAGGAAAUGCGGGCAAGACAGAUGAAGAGUAUUGUUGCGUGGCAAAUAUACACCCCAAAGGGUGCAACUGUUUUAAGAGCGUACUCUAGUAACAUUUCAUUAUUGUUGUAUACAUGUAUUCACCAUCGCCAGAAAUAAAGGUGAACAAGUCGUUCUGAUUUACCUUGACAUGGAACUGCGUUUGAUCAGUGCGGGACUAAAAGAUGAGUAGGGUUGCCCAGCAUGUUUUAUACCGGUACUGUCAUCUUGCCACUAGAACGUGGGCAUGGAUUUUCAUGUUUUGUUACAUGGCGCGUAUGAAAUGUGGAUUACCUAUGUGUCACUAAGGCCCAUCUUGUUUUCGAACACUUGUGUCUUUCUUGGGCUCGCUUAGCUUUGUAGGGUACCUGCAAAGUCUGUUUCUUCCUGUGCUGUUCGCCUUUGAACUUUGUAACCAACCACAUUGUGCACAUGCCCUAUGGAAUACGCAAACUUCAAGCAGCAGUUUGUGGUGAAUGUACUUUUGGUUUUAUUUCCAUGUUGUAACGGACGAGCAUUCCCAUGCUGUCAAAAGGCGGCGUUCAGCCGAUGAUGCGCGUCGCCAGCGAGACGCCUGUCCGCUGUAUUGCCUGAGAUGACGUGCAAUGUACGGUGCUCGCCGCUAUUUUUACAGCUGGGGAAUGCCUGCUGAGGUAUCCAAGUUGCGAUAACGCCGACCGCACUGAAUAUAUAUAUAUAUAUAUUACAUGACGUCACUUCUUACCCCUGCAUUGUUGAAAUAAACUGUUUCUGUUUGUCUCGUCCACACAU